UAAUAUAUAUUUCAACAGGACGGAUCCGGAAAUGAUAUUAUGGGGGCCAAUAACACAUAUAAUAUUAAAAAUUAU